rnacentral:rRNA from 1 species
UACGUAGGGUGCGAGCGUUGUCCGGAAUUACUGGGCGUAAAGAGCUCGUAGGUGGUUUGUCGCGUUGUUCGUGAAAACUCACAACUCAAUUGUGGGCGUGCGGGCGAUACGGGCAGACUGGAGUACUGCAGGGGAGACUGGAAUUCCUGGUGUAGCGGUGGAAUGCGCAGAUAUCAGGAGGAACACCGGUGGCGAAGGCGGUUCUCUGGGCCUUACCUGACGCUGAGGAGCGAAAGCGUGGGGAGCGAACAGG